CCUACGGGAGGCAGCAGUUGGGAAUCUUGCACAAUGGAGGAAACUCUGAUGCAGCGAUGCCGCGUGAGUGAAGAAGGCCUUUGGGUUGUAAAGCUCUUUUGUAGGGGAAGAUAAUGACUGUACCCUAAGAAUAAGGUCCGGCUAACUUCGUGCCAGCAGCCGCGGUAAUACGAAGGGACCUAGCGUAGUUCGGAAUUACUGGGCGUAAAGCGCGCGUAGGCCGUUGAGUUAGUUAAUUGUGAAAUCCCAAAGCUUAACUUCGGAACUGCAAUUAAAACUGCUCGACUAGAGUUUGAUAGAGGAAAGCGGAAUACAUAGUGUAGAGGUGAAAUUCGUAGAUAUUAUGUAGAACACCAGUUGCGAAGGCGGCUUUCUGGAUCAACACUGACGCUGAGGCGCGAAAGUAUGGGUAGCAAAGAGGAUUAGAUACCCUCGUAGUCCAUACCAUAAACGAUGAUUGCUAGAUGUUGGAAAUUUAUUUUCAGUAUCGCAGCUAACGCAUUAAGCAAUCCGCCUGGGGAGUACGACCGCAAGGUUAAAACUCAAAGGAAUUGACGG
rnacentral:rRNA from 1 species